UACGGGGGGGGCAAGCGUUGUUCGGAAUUACUGGGCGUAAAGGGCUCGUAGGCGGCCAACUAAGUCAAACGUGAAAUCCCUCGGCUUAACCGGGGAACUGCGUCUGAUACUGGAUGGCUUGAGUUUGGGAGAGGGAUGCGGAAUUCCAGGUGUAGCGGUGAAAUGCGUUGAUAUCAAUCGGAACUCCGGUGGCGAAGGCGGCAUACUGGACGUUAUCUGACGCUGAGGCGUGAAAGCCAGGGGAGCAAACGGG
rnacentral:rRNA from 1 species